GAAAUGCGAUAAGUAAAGUGAAUUGCAGAAUUCAGUGAAUCAUCGAAUCUUUGAACGCACAUUGCGCCCGCCAGUAUUCUGGCGGGCAUGCCUGUCCGAGCGUCAUUUCAACCAUCAAGCCCCCGGGCUUGUGUUGGGGACCUGCGGCUGCCCGCAGGCCCUGAAAACCAGUGGCGGGCUCGCUGUCACACCGAGCGUAGUAGCAAUCACCUCGCUCAGGGCGUGCUGCGGGUUCCGGCCGUUAAACAGCCUUACAAAACCCAAGGUUGACCUCGGAUCAGGUAGGAAGACCCGCUGAACUUAAGC
rnacentral:misc_RNA from 1 species